CAAAACUGGUCACCCAUCUGCCUGCAGCUACAGCAGCUGCUUUAUUUGCUCAGCAGCCUAGUUCCUGGGAUAACUGUUUAUUUCUGACUCUAGAAUGCAAGCUGAAUAAGAACUGCUGUCAAAAUGGGGGAACUGCUUCCAGGGGACUUUCUGCAUGUGUCCAAAGUAUUUUAGCGGCAGACACUGUGAACAUGCCAGGUUCCUAGAAAUAGUAACAAGCUUAAUUUCAAGACAUGUAAUUCCACUUUUCUAGUUUUUAUUAUUGUUAUUAUUAUUAUUAUUACUGUUGCUGUUUUGUGUCAAUGCAGAUAUGGCACUGUGAGACAAGGGGAGUGGACCAUGGACAGCUGCCUGCUCUGCCAGUGUGUGCAUAGAGUCUUUUCACUGUUAUCCUUGUGCCUGAGAGAUGGCUGUGCUUUUCUGGCAAGCAAAAGAAGGGAACAAAACAGCCUUACAGAGAAAACAGUGCAAAUAUGAAGAUCCAGGUAGCUAUUAUCUCCAGACCUGACUGAUUAUCUGCACUUGGUGAGAGGACUGCAGGACAAGACAACACUCACCUUCCCUACAGCUGCCGGAAUGGAAGGGCUACAGUACUAGAGAGCUGGCAUGAAUCCUGGAAACUAAAAGAAAGGCAAAAAACCACAUGUGUCUCUGCAUCUUCAAAUGGCUUUCUUACAUUCAGC
rnacentral:lncRNA from 1 species